rnacentral:rRNA from 1 species
GAUGAACGCUGGCGGCGUGCCUAAUACAUGCAAGUCGAGCGAACAGACGAGGAGCUUGCUCCUCUGACGUUAGCGGCGGACGGGUGAGUAACACGUGGAUAACCUACCUAUAAGACUGGGAUAACUUCGGGAAACCGGAGCUAAUACCGGAUAAUAUAUUGAACCGCAUGGUUCAAUAGUGAAAGACGGUUUUGCUGUCACUUAUAGAUGGAUCCGCGCCGCAUUAGCUAGUUGGUAAGGUAACGGCUUACCAAGGCAACGAUGCGUAGCCGACCUGAGAGGGUGACCGGCCACACUGGACCUGAGCCACGGUCCAGCCUCCGACGGGAGGCAGCAUUAGGGAAUCUUCCGCAAUGGGCGAAAGCCUGACGGAGCAACGCCGCGUGAGUGAUGAAGGUCUUCGGAUCGUAAAACUCUGUUAUUAGGGAAGAACAAAUGUGUAAGUAACUAUGCACGUCUUGACGGUACCUAAUCAGAAAGCCACGGCUAACUACGU